rnacentral:rRNA from 1 species
UACAGAGGGUGCGAGCGUUGUCCGGAAUCACUGGGCGUAAAGGGCUCGUAGGCGGCCAACUAAGUCAGCCGUGAAAUCUCCAAGCUUAACUCGGAACGGUCAGCUGAUACUGCUGUGCUAGAGUGCAGAAAGGGCAAUCGGAAUUCUUGGUGUAGCGGUGAAAUGCGUAGAUAUCAAGAGGAACACCUGAGGCGAAGGCGGGUUGCUAGGCUGACACUGACGCUGACAGCGCGAAAGCUAGGGUAGCAAACGGG